rnacentral:rRNA from 1 species
AGCGAACGCUGGCGGCAGGCUUAACACAUGCAAGUCGAGCGGACCUUUCGGGGCCAGCGGCGGACGGGUGAGUAACGCGUGGGAACGUGCCUUCCGGUUCGGAAUAACCCUGGGAAACUAGGGCUAAUACCGGAUACGCCCUUAUGGGGAAAGGUUUACUGCCGGAAGAUCGGCCCGCGUCUGAUUAGCUAGUUGGUGGGGUAACGGCCUACCAAGGCGACGAUCAGUAGCUGGUCCGAGAGGAUGAUCAGCCACACUGGGACUGAGACACGGCCCAGACUCCUACGGGAGGCAGCAGUGGGGAAUAUUGGACAAUGGGCGCAAGCCUGAUCCAGCCAUGCCGCGUGAGUGAUGAAGGCCUUAGGGUUGUAAAGCUCUUUUAUCCGGGACGAUAAUGACGGUACCGGAGGAAUAAGCCCCGGCUAACUUCGUG